UUCGACACACUAUCAUUAACUGAAUCCAUAGGUUAAUGAGGCGAACCGGGGGAACUGAAACAUCUAAGUACCCCGAGGAAAAGAAAUCAACCGAGAUUCCCCCAGUAGCGGCGAGCGAACGGGGAGCAGCCCAGAGCCUGAAUCAGUAUGUGUGUUAGUGGAAGCGUCUGGAAAGGCGCGCGAUACAGGGUGACAGCCCCGUACACAAAAAUGCACAUGCUGUGAGCUCGAUGAGUAGGGCGGGACACGUGGUAUCCUGUCUGAAUAUGGGGGGACCAUCCUCCAAGGCUAAAUACUCCUGACUGACCGAUAGUGAACCAGUACCGUGAGGGAAAGGCGAAAAGAACCCCGGCGAGGGGAGUGAAAAAGAACCUGAAACCGUGUACGUACAAGCAGUGGGAGCACGCUUAGGCGUGUGACUGCGUACCUUUUGUAUAAUGGGUCAGCGACUUAUAUUCUGUAGCAAGGUUAACCGAAUAGGGGAGCCGAAGGGAAACCGAGUCUUAACUGGGCGUUAAGUUGCAGGGUAUAGACCCGAAACCCGGUGAUCUAGCCAUGGGCAGGUUGAAGGUUGGGUAACACUAACUGGAGGACCGAACCGACUAAUGUUGAAAAAUUAGCGGAUGACUUGUGGCUGGGGGUGAAAGGCCAAUCAAACCGGGAGAUAGCUGGUUCUCCCCGAAAGCUAUUUAGGUAGCGCCUCGUGAAUUCAUCUCCGGGGGUAGAGCACUGUUUCGGCAAGGGGGUCAUCCCGACUUACCAACCCGAUGCAAACUGCGAAUACCGGAGAAUGUUAUCACGGGAGACACACGGCGGGUGCUAACGUCCGUCGUGAAGAGGGAAACAACCCAGACCGCCAGCUAAGGUCCCAAAGUCAUGGUUAAGUGGGAAACGAUGUGGGAAGGCCCAGACAGCCAGGAUGUUGGCUUAGAAGCAGCCAUCAUUUAAAGAAAGCGUAAUAGCUCACUGGUCGAGUCGGCCUGCGCGGAAGAUGUAACGGGGCUAAACCAUGCACCGAAGCUGCGGCAGCGACGCUGAUGCGUUGUUGGGUAGGGGAGCGUUCUGUAAGCCUGCGAAGGUGUGCUGUGAGGCAUGCUGGAGGUAUCAGAAGUGCGAAUGCUGACAUAAGUAACGAUAAAGCGGGUGAAAAGCCCGCUCGCCGGAAGACCAAGGGUUCCUGUCCAACGUUAAUCGGGGCAGGGUGAGUCGACCCCUAAGGCGAGGCCGAAAGGCGUAGUCGAUGGGAAACAGGUUAAUAUUCCUGUACUUGGUGUUACUGCGAAGGGGGGACGGAGAAGGCUAUGUUGGCCGGGCGACGGUUGUCCCGGUUUAAGCGUGUAGGCUGGUUUUCCAGGCAAAUCCGGAAAAUCAAGGCUGAGGCGUGAUGACGAGGCACU
rnacentral:rRNA from 1 species